AUUGAACGCUGGCGGCAUGCCUUACACAUGCAAGUCGGACGGUAACAGGUCUUCGGAUGCUGACGAGUGGCGAACGGGUGAGUAAUACAUCGGAACGUGCCCGAUCGUGGGGGAUAACGGAGCGAAAGCUUUGCUAAUACCGCAUACGAUCUACGGAUGAAAGCAGGGGACCGCAAGGCCUUGCGCGGACGGAGCGGCCGAUGGCAGAUUAGGUAGUUGGUGGGAUAAAAGCUUACCAAGCCGACGAUCUGUAGCUGGUCUGAGAGGACGACCAGCCACACUGGGACUGAGACACGGCCCAGACUCCUACGGGAGGCAGCAGUGGGGAAUUUUGGACAAAGGGCGAAAGCCUGAUCCAGCCAUGCCGCGUGCAGGAUGAAGGCCUUCGGGUUGUAAACUGCUUUUGUACGGAACGAAAAGACUCUUUCUAAUAAAGAGGGUCCAUGACGGUACCGUAAGAAUAAGCACCGGCUAACUACGUG
rnacentral:rRNA from 1 species